rnacentral:lncRNA from 1 species
CAGAGCAAAAACUUCAUCUCAAAAAAAAAAAAAAAAAAAAGAUGUAGGAAGCAAGUGAGGUAUGGCUUUGCAGAAUAAGGAUUUUAAAUGGAUUGGUGGUAUAAGCGGGCAAAAAAUAUUCCUGUGAUGGUUAAUUUUAUUUUUCAACUUGACUAAACCACAGGUACCCAUACAUUUGGUCAAACAUUAUUCUAGGUGUGUCUGUGAGGGUGUUUCUGGAUGAGAUUAACAUUUGAAUCUGAAGAAUAAAACAGGUUCCUCCUUAAUGCGAGUGAGUUUCAUCUAAUCUAUUGAUAACCUGUAUAGAACAAAAAACUGAGCAAGAGAUAACGUUGCCUGCCUGCCUGCCUACUUGAGACAUUAGUCUUCUGCCUUCAGAUUGGAAUUUAUAUUAAUACCAUCUACUCCUUGGUUCUCAGUCCUUCUGACAUGAACUGGAACAACACCAUCAGCUCUCCCGGAUCUCCAGCUUGCAGACAGCAGAUCAUGGGACUUUUCAGCUUCUGUAAUUGUGAGGUGGUUGAGAACCAUUGACGUAGACUGACUUAGCAGAUCUUCAAAUGUGAAUAGGGAAUCCUGCCAUUCCACUGAUGAGAACAGCAUGCUUAGGAUAUUGCUUCUGAGAAGAGAGGCAUCCUGUUGUAUGUAGUGGCCACAUAACAGACUGCAAAGAACUGGAACGCAGAGUAAUUUUAAUCCAAAAUGUUCAAAGGUAAGUGGCUAAAAAUAGUCCAUUCUUCUUCCAUGCUAAAACUUUAACAACUAUGAGAGAGGAAAAGCUUGACAGAUUCUCUGUAGAAUUUGUCAACUACUUUUGCCAGAGGUCAAAACUGAUCAUAAAUACUGUGCCUUAGUAGCCUAACAUGGCUUCUGAACUGUGAAUAGAAGCUGGGAUUUUGUAGCAAAUGGUGUUCCUCAGAACUCGAGGUUUCCAAGGUGACUGCAUAUGAAACUACAAACAUCACAAUAGCAGUUUCCAGAGGGACUCUCUUUAUGGUCCUCCCCAUACCCUCCAUCCCCAAACUAUUACAUUCUUUACACUGUGAUUCUUUCUAAAGUGAGAUAGAAACUAAAUAAUUGAUUUGAAUAUCAAAGAAAAGAUGUACAUUUCCAUCUUCUCAAUUUUCAUUAGAGUACUGAUUUUUCAAGUCUUCCCAAUAAGACCUAAUGCUCUCAGAACAUCUAAUGACCCAUGCAACUAACUUGACUCCAUGUGUAACAGACAGCUAGGCUGUUGAUUAUUUUAAUUAGCAAUUAAAAGUAAUACAUUCACAAAUGUUAUUUGGAUUUUUCAUUUAAAUGAAAUCUCUAGCUUUGAUCAGGAUUGAAAAUCGGUUCAGCCUAUGGGGCAGUGCAUCAUAGAAGGAGCUCUGGAUUAGGAGGAGAUGCCUGUCAUUGAGUUAGCCACUAACUCGCGAUGGGGACCCAUUCUCCUGUAUACAAUGAGAGGGUUGGACUAGCAAUUGAAAGGGUCCAUCUCUCAGCCCUGAAACACACUUCAUGUUUCUUAGCAGCAAAUAGAUUCUGGAAGAUUAAUAGUCAAUGUAAGUAUACUGCCUGCCAUAUGAUUAUAAUGUAAGAGAUCUCCUGCACUGAGUCAAGUGGUCACCCUGUGCUCUCUUCAUCCCCCAUGCUAGCCUUCAGUAGACAUCCUCAAGAGUAUUCUGUGUCCACUUACUGAUAUAUUGUACAGGAAUCCCUCUCUGUGGGGAGCAAAGUAGGUGAUCCACAUAGCUCUAGGAAGGCUGAAAACAAUAUUAGUGUCUUAUAUGUAAAUAACUAUACCUCACUCAAGCUUAAUUUUUUAAAAGCCACUUACUAAAAUUUAUACCUAAAAAUUAUUGCAUACUUACUAUACAGUAGGCAAUGUGCUAAAUAAAACAUUGUAGGAAGAAGUCACAUUAAUAUUAUUAUCCCCACCUUACAGUUAGUUGGGGGAAGUUAAGCCUAAGGUAACUCAGCUAGCAGCAGAGUAGAUGUUCCCACUGCAACUCUAUCACUAGAACCCAUGCUUUUAAAUGUUACCUGAAAACUGCCACUAUUUACUGGAAUGAACAAAUGCUACAGUAAUAGACUGAGUUUUAGGGCUCUGGGAAAAAGUACAUUGUAAUCAGCUAAAAUUGAGGAAGUACUUAAUUUGUGUCAAGAGACUCUGGGUGAUGUGAAUGUAUACAUUUAAAAUAAUAUAUAUCAUUUUAAAUGGUUAUCUAUUGGAUACAAAUUGAAAAACUUCUAUCUUUGGUCCAGCCAUUAAAUAAAUAUUUUGGUUAGUAACUAGCUUACCUACUUUGCAAUUUUAUAUUACCCAUUUCAGGAUCCUCUGUUAGUGAAAAUGGUAACAUGAGAAGCCUGAAAUGGUAUUUAAAAGCGAUAUGGAGGUCGUUCUGGUGUUGGUCUCAGUAGGGUUAGCUGGGGGAUUAUGUGAAAGCUGAGGGCUGAACAAGUCAGAAGGCAUAUUUGGAAAGUGAUUAAAGUGAUUACAUUCAAUAAUAAUAAUCACUAUGUAGUGAACACCAACGAUGCUUUCAGACUUUCAUAUGGUCCCGCGAGUUCUCAAUACAUCCUAUGCAGUAUGUGGUAGAAUCCCUAUUGAACAGAUGAGGCUCAGUAAGGUGGAAUGACUUGCCCAAGUCCACCCUGUCAUUCACUUGGAGAUGGGGCUCAGGUAACCAGGACUAUCUGGCUUCAAAGUAGCCUUCUUAAAACUUUCCAUUGAAUUGCCAGCUCUCAUAGAGGAUUAGUGCAUUCCUCUGGGGGUCUGGGACACAGACACACAGACUCACUAAAAGGUAAGUGUUUUUUAUGGAAAUCUCUUCUGUUCAGCUUCAAAAGUUAUACAAAUUUGGUGUUGUACCAUAUACAAUAUCCCUAUUUAAUGAAAAAUAAUAGUUUAUCAUUUGUGAGUUAUUUGAUUUGUAUCCAAAUCUUUGGGUAAAAUAUUCUCCAGGAAGAUGUGUCAAGUUUAUCCUAUGGCUUUCUGUGCUCUAAUUCAGGAUGAACAAAACUGCAAUAAAGCAGAGUAAGUAAACACAAAGAGUGGCCAAGAUGGCCAACUAAAAGCAGAUAGGAUGCGUGGCUCUCACAGAGAGGAAAGGAAGGAAGGGGCAAGUAAAUACAGCACUGCCAACUGACACAUCCAGACAGUCAACACUGGGACUAAUCAAGGAAACAACUCGACCCACAGAGAAUGGAGAAGAGCAAGGCAGGACGACGGCCCAUCUGGGAGCAGAAUGUGGAGCCAAGGGAACCUCCCUUGCCAAGGACCAAGACAAGUGGCAAGCCAUAUGAUGACUGACCAGAAACAUUAGAAAGAAUGGAAGAUGGUUUCCUGAAGCUUCGCUACU